rnacentral:tmRNA from 1 species
CGUACGCUUAACUGACGUCCUUAGAUUCGAUUCUCGGUUGAAUCAAAAGGGUGUAAACCAAUCCGGGAUGCUAUGUCAACUUUAUGAUUUAAAGGUUGCCAUCUAAGCCAAAUAAAUCUUACUUCGGGCUGCCUGUGAAUUGGCUUAAACCUGAAGGAAAUCACAAAAAUUCAAUAAGCUUGUAGAAGUUUUGCAGGAAGCGUUUUCGGACGCGGGUUCGAUUCCCGCCGUCUCCACCA